rnacentral:rRNA from 1 species
UACGAAUGGAGCGAGCGUUGUUCGGAAUCACUGGGCGUAAAGGGUGCGCAGGCGGUCGUGAAAGUUAGAAGUGAAAGCCCAGGGCUCAACCCUGGAAUUGCUUUUAAAACUCCGCGACUUGAGUAUUGGAGAGGUUAGCGGAAUUCCGAGUGUAGAGGUGAAAUUGCAGAUAUUCGGAGGAACACCAAUGGCGUAGGCAGCUAACUGGACAAUUACUGACGCUCAUGCACGAAAGCGUGGGGAUCAAACAGG